rnacentral:pre_miRNA from 1 species
AAGUAAUGAGAUUGAUUUCUGUGGUAUAGUAAAUGGAAAUCAGUUUCAUUACCUU